UACGUAGGGUGCGAGCGUUAAUCGGAAUUACUGGGCGUAAAGCGUGCGCAGGCGGUCUGUUAAGACCGAUGUGAAAUCCCCGGGCUUAACCUGGGAACUGCAUUGGUGACUGGCAGGCUUUGAGUGUGGCAGAGGGAGGUAGAAUUCCACGUGUAGCAGUGAAAUGCGUAGAGAUGUGGAGGAAUACCGAUGGCGAAGGCAGCCUCCUGGGCCAACACUGACGCUCAUGCACGAAAGCGUGGGGAGCAAACAGGAUUAGAUACCCUGGUAGUCCACGCCCUAAACGAUGUCAACUAGUUGUUGGGGAUUCAUUUCCUUAGUAACGUAGCUAACGCGUGAAGUUGACCGCCUGGGGAGUACGGUCGCAAGAUUAAA
rnacentral:rRNA from 1 species